CUGCCUGUCUAUCCGUCUAUCCAUCCAUCCAUCCAUCUGUGGCAGGAGAGGUAAUUAGUUGCCAAGUGUCAUUAAUUUACGGGUCCUUUUCUCUGCCCUAUCACAAUACGGCAUACGGGCUAUAAAAAGGAAGCAUUUGCUACCUGGGAUGCGUCACUUGAUUAGUUGCGGCGCCGUGAGCGCGCGUCGUCACUUCCCACACCUGUUGAGGGCGGUGAGGGGUUCUGAUCGGGCUGGAAGUUGCUUCGCCUGAAUUGUUUGGCUGCAAUCGCCAACGCUAGAACGCGUGUAAGGACUGGAAAAGCUGCGAGAACCAGAUGCGGGUGCGCGACUGUUUGUUGGCUGCGCCGGCUGUUGACUGAAAUGUACGUGCUAUCUGCCUCUUAAGUGACUGAUUGAACCCCGAUUCCCUUCGGUGAGCAGUAGGUAGGUGUUUGCAUGUAGUUGCAAAUGGCUUAUAGCAGAUUUUGGACUUUAUCAUGACUAUUGAUUUAUUUGUUCAGGCUGGGUGGCACUCUGCGAGGGGAGCUCCGUCGGGCGCUCCGCAUCCGUGUGCGGCUACAGUGCUGUCCUGUUUCCCGUGUUUUUUUUCUGUUUCCUUAGAUUUUGUCUUUGUUUUCUUAAUUGUUUAUCUUUUUGAGUUGUUCUGUUUUUGGUUUACACAAGGACUAUUUAACUUAUUUUUUUGUUUGGUAUAUUUAUUUAUCUUCGUUUGUUUGGGUUUUCAUUUUCUUUAUUGGAUAAAUCUAUAUAGUGCGGCUGGAUUUAUUUGUUUAUUUUUAUUAUUUUGACAUUCAUCCAGCAUGUUUUGAUUUUUCCUUACAUUUUUGUGUAAAUCUUUACUGUUGUAUUUUCAUUAUUGCUUCAUUUAUUUUCUCUUUAAUUAAUUUGGUUUAAGAUUUAAUUGUUUCCUCCCUUUUAAGGUGGAAUUUAGUUGCUCUUUCUUUGUUUUCAUUUAUCAACUUCAUUACAUUUGUAUUUUGUUUAUUUAAUCAUUUACUUGUGUAAACUGAUUUAUUCUUUUUGUUUAAUUGCAGGGCAGUGGUCCGACUUUUCGGCUGGUGACAGAGUCAGAGCUCCCUGGGGUGGGAGGCUAAUUUUAUUGGACAUUUUAGAAUUUCUCACAGUGUGUAGUGAUCACUGUGUGCUGGUUUGUGCGUGUGGGUGCUCCAUUUUUACACAGUGGAUUGUAGUGGUUUUCACUUGCCUGAAGUAUAGCCUGGCCACUUUCCCUAACGCUGGCGAGCUCUGGCCCUGGGGCACCUUCGUAAAUUUACAAACUGUCACGUCAAUGUCGACAUUGGUUUUAAUCCUGUUUUUAUUUGAGAUUUGAAAAUAAAGAAAUCUAUUUUUGUACCGUG